rnacentral:sRNA from 1 species
UUGCAACAGAUUAGUGGCCCUGGUUUAUGUUCUUGACUAGUAUGUUGUUAUCUGGACUGGGCUGUAAAAAUCUGUGAACACUGUUGCUCUGAGUUAGGAACAGAAUGGCUGGGGCAGAACCAUUUUUGGCAGCAAUCACAUAUUCCAUGUGAUUCAAUACACAGAAACAAACACUGCAGACCACAUUGAUCUCCCUGUUUGAUUCAGCUGGCUAGAUGGCAAUCAGGAAUUGUUUCCCUGUGAAGUCUGUGGAAGACGUUUUGCAGCAGAUGUUCUGGAAAGGCACGGACCAAUAUGUAAGAAACUCUUCAACAGAAAGCGUAAACCUUUCAAUUCUUUGAAGCAAAGAUUACAGGGCACUGACAUUCCUACUGUGAAGAAGACUCCGCAAUCCAAGUCUCCACCUGUGAGGAAGUCUAACUGGAGACAACAACAUGAAGACUUUAUUAACGCAAUCCGAUCAGCAAAGCAGUGUACUCUAGCCAUUAAAGAAGGCCGACCCCUCCCACCUCCACCCCCUCCAUCCUUGAACCCAGAUUAUAUUCAAUGCCCAUAUUGUAUGAGAAGGUUUAAUGAAAGCGCAGCUGAGCGACAUAUUAAUUUCUGCAAGGAUCAGUCUUCUCGCCGAGUCUUUAAUCCAGCUCAGACAGCAGCUAAAUUGGCAUCCAGAGCUCAGGGUAGGGCUCAGAUGGGUCCAAAAAAAGAACCAACUGUUACCAGUGCUGUGGGAGCUUUGCUGCAGAACAGGGCCCUGGUGGCCACAAAUGAAGUCCCAACCAAGUCAGGAUUAGCUAUGGACCCUGCUUCUGGAGCAAAACUCAGACAAGGAUUUAGCAAAUCUUCUAAAAAAGAUUAACUCCUAGAAGCCAGACUGCCUCCCUGAAACCCAUUAGCCUGGAUGGUUGCGUACCUGAGAAUGCCACCUAAGGG